GAACGAAUCACUUUCUUUCUUUUUUCAGUUCGUAUGACUUCAAUCAGUAGGUGUCGGUAAAGCGCAUUGAAGCUGGUGCCAUCUCGCCGUAAAACAAAACGAAGAAGAAAAUGACGUAAAUU